CAAUAGCGUAUAUUAAAGUUGUUGCGGUUAAAAAGCUCGUAGUUGGAUUUCUGUUGAGGACGGCCGGUCCGCACUAUGUGCGUGUAUCUGGUUCGGCCUCGGCAUCCUCUCGAAAGCCGUUUCUGCGCUUGAUUGCGUGGUUCGGACUUCGGGACUUUUACUUUGAGGAAAUUAGAGUGUUCACGGCAGGCAAGCGCCUUGAAUAUAUUAGCAUGGAAUAAUAAUAUAGGAUCUUGGUCCUAUUUUGUUGGUUUCUAGGGCUAAGAUAAUGAUUAAUAGGGACAAUUGGGGGCAUUCGUAUUAACGCGCCAGAGGUGGAAUUCUUGGAUUGCGUUACGACGAACUACUGCGAAAGCAUUUGCCAAGGAUGUUUUCAUUGA
rnacentral:rRNA from 1 species